rnacentral:sRNA from 1 species
CACUGGGUCUAUAAAUAGUAAAUAGAUUCGGAUUUAUCUCGAAUCUGUUCAAAAGAUAUAAGUGUCAGAAGAGACAACCUCUUGUAGAGUUAAAGACUAUACUAUGAAGCUUAUUUGGAUCUUGUUGAGUUGUGCUCUACUGGUGGAAAUGGUAGAAUCGGCACCACCAAAGGCUCCUUCCAAAAGAAUUGUUAAGCCUGCUCGGGACUCUGUAGUCUCUCUAGGCUCCUAUGAGGCAGAUGCUCUACUUCAUGAGGAUAGAUACAUUAUUGGAUUUGAACGGGAUGUUGAAUGAUGCUACCAAGAAAUACGCCUAAAGUAAACAAGCUGUAUGGUUCUAAUAUUCAUUGACAUAUAUAGUCAAAUACCUUGCUAUCGAAAUUAUCAUUAAGUGUAAGCAAAAUAUAUA